rnacentral:rRNA from 1 species
AACGAACGCUGGCGGCAUGCCUAACACAUGCAAGUCGAACGAGACCUUCGGGUCUAGUGGCGCACGGGUGCGUAACGCGUGGGAACCUGCCCUUAGGUUCGGAAUAACUCCCCGAAAGGGGUGCUAAUACCGGAUAAUGUCUUCGGACCAAAGAUUUGUCGCCUUUGGAUGGGCCCGCGUUGGAUUAGCUAGUUGGUAGGGUAAAAGCCUACCAAGGUGACGAUCCAUAGCUGGUCUGAGAGGAUGAUCAGCCACACUGGGACUGAGACACGGCCCAGACUCCUACGGGAGGCAGCAGUGGGGAAUAUUGGACAAUGGGCGAAAGCCUGAUCCAGCAAUUCCGCGUGAGUGAUGAAGGCCUUAGGGUUGUAAAGCUCUUUUACCCGGGAUGAUAAUGACAGUACCGGGAGAAUAAGCUCCGGCUAACUCCGUG